rnacentral:rRNA from 1 species
UUAAAUUGAAGAGUUUGAUCAUGGCUCAGAUUGAACGCUGGCGGCAGGCCUAACACAUGCAAGUCGAACGGUAACAGGAAACAGCUUGCUGCUUCGCUGACGAGUGGCGGAC